rnacentral:misc_RNA from 1 species
AUUAAAUUGUAAAUUGACUUUAUUUGGUAUAUCUAGAAACAUGAAACUUUGGAUACCCUUUUGGGAUCUCUUUUAUGGUUUUUGAAUGCUCAUUGAAUUGUAAAGGCUGUAUCUUUCAUCUUCUUCUUCAUCUUUUGUUUAUUUGUUUACCUUUUCUAGCUUGUGUUGCUUACUUGUCUUUAACCUGCAUCAACUCGUUUUCUCUGGUUGGGGAUUCCAUCCUGUUGUAAUUUCAGCAUCAUAUGGUGAUAAAAAAGAAAAACCUCUUAUA